rnacentral:rRNA from 1 species
CCUACGGGGGGCAGCAGUGAGGAAUAUUGGUCAAUGGACGAGAGUCUGAACCAGCCAAGUAGCGUGAAGGAUGACUGCCCUAUGGGUUGUAAACUUCUUUUAUAAAGGAAUAAAACGAGGCACGUGUGCCUUUUUGCAUGUACUUUAUGAAUAAGGAGCGGCUAACUCCGUGCCAGCAGCCGCGGUAAUACGGAGGAUCCGAGAGUUGGCCGGAUUUAUUGGGUGUAAAGGGAGCGGAGAUGGGUUGUGAAGGCCGUUGUGAAAGUUUGUGGCUCAACCGUAAAAUUGCAAUUGAUGCUGGCAGUCUUGAGUACAGUUGAGGUAGGCGGAAUUCGUGGUGGAGUGGUGAAAUGCUGAGAUAGCACGAAGAACCCCGAUUGCGAAGGCAGCUUACUAAACUGUGACUGACAUUGAUGCUCGAAAGUGUGGGUAUCAAACAGGAUUAGAUACCCUUGUAGUC